rnacentral:pre_miRNA from 1 species
CAUGCACCGGUGGGGUCCCUCGGCCUGGCCUGCACCCUCUCGCAAACCAGGACCCCUCAGGGGAUGUUGGAGAGUCAGUUUUGGCCCGAUCUCCACAGGCCAGGCCGAGGGACCCCACCGGUGCACG